rnacentral:rRNA from 1 species
AACGAACGCUGGCGGCAGGCCUAACACAUGCAAGUCGAGCGCGUAGCAAUACGAGCGGCGCACGGGAUAGUAACGCGUGGGAACCUACCUUUCGGUUCGGAAUAACAUCGGGAAACUGGUGCUAAUACCGGAUGCGCCCUUCGGGGGAAAGAUUUAUUGCCGAUAGAUGGGCCCGCGUUGGAUUAGCUAGUUGGUGAGGUAACGGCUCACCAAGGCAACGAUCCAUAGCUGGUCUGAGAGGAUGAUCAGCAUCACUGGGACUGAGACACGGCCCAGACUCCUACGGGAGGCAGCAGUGGGGAAUAUUGGACAAUGGGGGCAACCCUGAUCCAGCCAUGCCGCGUGAAUGAUGAAGGCCUUCGGGUUGUAAAGUUCUUUUGGUGGGGACGAUGAUGACGGUACCCACAGAAUAAGCUCCGGCUAACUUCGUGCCAGCAGCCGCCGUAA